GGUCUGUUAGCUCAGUUGGUUUAGAGCACCUGCCUUACAAGCAGGGGGUCGUCGGUUCGAAUCCGCCACGGACCA
rnacentral:tRNA from 1 species